GUUUAUGUAAAUUUUCAAACUCUAACAUUUUCAGUGAAAGUAUUUUUACUUAUUUACGAUAAAAAUUGAAAUAAAAUUUCUUCCCUUUUUAUUUACAGAAAUAGUCACACAUUCACAUGUUUGUGACACUCUUUGGGAAUCCAACUCAAAUGUUUCUUGAAUUAUUUGGGAAUUGUUCAUGAAAGUUAGUUUUAGUUAUCAUGCAGUAACUGAUUGAUUCUUUGUGAACAAUUCAUGUAUUGAAUUCUAAAUUUCUAAUUUUUUUAAAUGUGAAUUUUACUUACUUGGCUCUGGGAAAGGUUUCUUGAAAUCAUCAGUCGUAGAGUCCUUCCAUUCACACAGUCUCUCCAGAGCUGGUCUGGAUCCCAUGACGAUGUGCUCGCUCAUUCCCUUCAACAUCUUGUGAGCCAUGGCUAUGCCAUACUGGACUCGGUUUGUGUUGAUAGACUCCAGGUCUGACAUAGAUCUGGCUAUGUUAUCCUAAGAUUGUCACUGCCCUGCAGCAGAUGCUGGGGAUGGGUUUCCAUAACGAGGGAGGCUGGUUACAGCGCCUCCUGGAGGAGAAAGAGGGCAACAUCAGCCAAGUGUUGGAUGCCAUCCAGAACAGGGCAAAGGUCACCCCUGAUGGAAGCUACAUGGCUUGAAAAAUGAAAUAAAUGGAAGAAAAGACAGAACAUUUCACAGAAAA